rnacentral:tRNA from 1 species
GGUAGAAUGGCCGAGAAUAGGCGAUAAAUUGUAAAUUUAUUUACGAGAAGAAUUUCUCUUUUACCA